rnacentral:rRNA from 1 species
UGCAUGCAGUCGAACGGGCAAUGGGGCUUCGGCCCCGGCGCUAGUGGCAGACGGCUGAGUAACACGUAAGUGAUCUGCCCCGGAGCGGGGGAUAAUCCGGAGAAAUCCGGCCUAAUACCCCGUACGUUCAUAUGGUCAAGGCCGUAUGAAGAAAGGUUUCGGCCGCUCUGGGAGGAGCUUGCGGCCUAUCAGGUAGUUGGCGGGGUAAUAGCCCACCAAGCCGAAGACGGGUAACCGAUGUGAGAGCAUGAUCGGUCAGAGGGGGACUGAGACACGGCCCCCACUCCUACGGGAGGCAGCAGCAGGGAAUCUUGCGCAACGGGCGAAAGCCUGACGCAGCGACACCGCGUGGGGGAAGAAGGCCUCAGGGUUGUAAACCCCUUUUCUGGGGGAAGAGAUAGGACGGUACCUCAGGAAUAAGCAUCGGCUAACUACGUGCCAGCAGCCGCGGUAAUACGUAGGAUGCCAGCGUUGUCCGGAUUUACUGGGCGUAAAGGGUGUGUAGGCGGCAUGGUAAGUCUCAUGUGAAAUCUCCCGGCUCAACUGGGAGGGGUCAUG